AUUGAACGCUGGCGGCAUGCCUUACACAUGCAAGUCGAACGGUAGAGGGGGCAACCCUUCGAGAGUGGCGAACGGGUGAGUAAAGCAUCGGAACGUGCCCAGUCGUGGGGGAUAACACUUCGAAAGAAGUGCUAAUACCGCAUACGACCUGAGGGUGAAAGCGGGGGACCGAAAGGCCUCGCGCGAUUGGAGCGGCCGAUGUCAGAUUAGGUAGUUGGUGGGGUAAAGGCCUACCAAGCCUGCGAUCUGUAGCUGGUCUGAGAGGAUGAUCAGCCACACUGGGACUGAGACACGGCCCAGACUCCUACGGGAGGCAGCAGUGGGGAAUUUUGGACAAUGGGCGCAAGCCUGAUCCAGCCAUGCCGCGUGCAGGAAGAAGGCCUUCGGGUUGUAAACUGCUUUUGUCAGGGAAGAAAUCUUCUGGGUUAAUAACCUGGGAGGAUGACGGUACCUGAAGAAUAAGCACCGGCUAACUACGUGCCAGCCGCCGCGGUAAUAC
rnacentral:rRNA from 1 species